ACGCUCGACACCUAUGGGAGGCAGCAGUGGGGAAUAUUGCACAAUGGGGGAAACCCUGAUGCAGCGACGCCGCGUGAGUGAAGAAGUAUUUCGGUAUGUAAAGCUCUAUCAGCAGGGAAGAAGAUGACGGUACCUGAGUAAGAAGCCCCGGCUAACUACGUGUCAGCAGCCGCGGUAAUCUGAGCGGGCUGGCAAGGC
rnacentral:rRNA from 1 species